AGAUGGUGAAAAUGAAAGCUUUCCAGCGACCAUAUGAGCGCUUGAAACUUGGCUUCUUCCAAUGAUCUAGUAUUGAAGAAAGCCCUUCUGCUAUGAAACCGUACCUUUCCCCUUUCAUCUCUAACUACCCAUGCUGCACCAUUUUUUGCUUGAGCUUUGUUCCAAUCAACUCCAAUAUUCCUUUUCAUCCAACCUCGUGGGGGACCUGACCAUGACUUCUUUACAACCACCACUGCCUCAUGUUUUUCCUUUUCCUUCAUUUCAUCAUUUUUCUGCGCCAUCAACCAAAACUCAGCUUC
rnacentral:lncRNA from 1 species